CUUAGGUCACUGGGUUGCUUGGGAUAAUACCCCCCAUCCCCAAAAGGGCCCUUUUCACUUCCCCUUUUGUAGAUUAUAAGAACAGGGAUUUUACUAAGAUCAGAACUGACGGCUGAGUAGCAAACAAGCCUCGGAUUAAAGCAUUGCGGGAGUCAGGGCCGUCUAAUUUGUUACUCCUGGAAGGCAGUCAAGCGUCUCCAGCAAGGAAAGCAGCCGGAGGGGGGAGCCACCUAGCCCGAGUUGCUCGAGGGUGUUGUCCGGCGCAACGAAGGAGAACUGCGUCGCUCUCCUUUGCUACAGGCCCCAAGAAGGAAAAAAAUGUUUAAAGACACGAAGUUCUGAAGGAAAGCAUCCGCUUUUUCAUCUGAGAGAGAGAGGUAGGAUAUUCAAGGAGAGCUACGCCUUCCACCUAUCUCGCCCGCCCGCGACCAUUAGAUUUCAUCGGUCUGCCUUCUAAAUUUCCAGCUGGGAGUUAAACUGCAAGCAGCCAAAACAAUGACGACAAGUGCGGUGCGGAUCCCACUUUGCAGGGUUUCUGAAAUUCUUAACUGAAGGCCUCCUCUUGCCCUAACGGCGAACGGCCGCCAGGGGGCAAAGAGGCACCAACAAAGGCCCAACGAGCCAAUCCCCUGGGCUUCUCUCUGCAGACAGCGUUUUUAAAAACAUGCUCUGGUUGCAAAGGUCUUCUUUUCUAUUUGCAAAGGAUUUUCCGCUCUCGCUCCCUAUUCCCCCCCCCCGCCAAAAUAAAUAAAAAUGAAAUAAAAAUAUUUUCCUUGGG